GUCAGUAGAGUGGCUGACUAGUGUUGACUGCCACUGACAUGUUUGAGUGACGCAUAUACAUGUACAUGAUAGACUAAAUGGGUCACCAAGCAGAACGUGCUUAUCCUUUAAGAUGUGAACAAGACGGUAAUGUUAAAGACUGCCAAGAGCAACAAUGUGACCCCAUGUAAGCAGCUCAUGGACAUUGAUCCUGAGGUGUCGCCUUGUCAGUUUGCAAAGGGUUUCACAUACACACUGAGAUGGAAAUGGCGAAGGAAACUUACAUCUAUAUGGCGCCGGCUGCACGUGCAGGGAGCGUGGUGCGGGACUUUGGGGCAGUUAAGACAACUCUGUUGGUGGUCUUCUUACCCCUGGUGCUUUUACCGCUACCCAUACUCUCAGACUCUACGGAGGCAAAAUGUGCCUAUGGUCUUGUCCUAAUGGCAGUGUUUUGGAUCACGGAAUGCAUUCCCCUUCCGGUGACCGCUCUUCUCCCUGUGGUUGUCUUCCCUUUAUUCGGGGUCAUGAAGGCAUCUGACGUUGCCGGGAACUACAUCAAGCAAGCAACAAUGUUUAUAAUUGGGGGUCUUACACUGGCCAUUGCCAUCGAGAAUUGUCAACUCCACAAGAGGAUCGCAUUGAAGACACUCACCUUAUUUGGGGUUCAACCAAGAUGGUUGAUGCUUGGUUUCAUGCUGCCGACGUGGUUUCUGUCUUUGUGGAUCAGCAACAUCGCCACCACCGCCAUGAUGAUCCCGAUCGUCAAUGCUGUCCUGGACGAACUUCGGAAGAUCAAAUACAAGUCAAAUGAAGAAAUGUUGAAAGGAGAGAUCGAGCUAAAGCCAGGUGAGAAGCAACAGAGAUUAAACCUGCCGUUGAAGUAUGAGACAAGCAGCAGCAGCCAAAGGAGUGACGCUGACGUGAUUGGCACAGAUGAAGAGAAAGAUGACACAACACUCAGAGAGAACAAUGUAACCGCGGCCUCUCCUCCAGGGUUUGACCCGUCCGAUAGAAGCCGUGACACCAUGGAGUUUACCCGUCUUUGUAAGGGCUUCUGUCUGUGCAUUGCUUACUCAGCCAAUAUUGGCGGCAUCGGGACACUGGCGGGUUCAGCACCAAACGUCAUCAUGCAGGUUCAAGCAGACAUAAUCUUUAACACGUAUGGACUUGAGUCGGGAGUGAACUUUGUAAAUUGGAUGGUAUUCGCCCUGCCUGUGUCGUUGCUGUGUAUCAUGUUGGCGUGGAUGUGGCUACAGACGCUGUUCCUUGGGAAGUCAUCUCUUCUGUGCUGCACAGCUAAGCCACGUGAUGGGAACGAGGCAGUUGGGUACCAGAUCAGACGGGAGUAUGAGAAACUAGGCCGCAUGUCAUUUGCCGAAAAGGUUGUUCUCGUUCAUUUUGUCAUCCUGGUUCUUGCAUAUCUAACGAUGUCGAUACCCUACGUCGGUGGGUGGGGGCAGUUCUUCCCAAAGGGGUACAUUGGAAGUUCUGUGUCUGCCAUCUUGGUGGCCGUCAGUCUUUUCGUCUUUCCGUCUAAACGUCCUUCUGUCUUCUGUUGGCGGAGAUCAGGUGAAGCCUCACGAUCCGUACCCUCACUACUGACCUGGAAAACAGUGGAGAGGGGGAUGCCCUGGGGUGUUCUGCUGCUGAUAGGUGGAGGGACUGCGCUCGCUGAUGCAUCUCAGGUAAACAGAAAUCAGGGCUGUCCCAGUGGAUUUGCAACCAGCUGACGGUGUUCAGUUCCCUUGACCCCAGCAUCACGAGCUUGCUGUUGUCUUUGCUCGUCGCAGCGGUUACCGAGGUGACCACCAACAUAGCCACCGUUACAUUGUUCCUGCCAAUCCUGGGAAACCUGGCCCUUUCUUUGAACGUGAACCCCUUGUGUCUCAUGUUUCCCUGCGCUGUCGCAGCCUCCUUCGCCUUCAUGUUGC
rnacentral:misc_RNA from 1 species